CCUCUCAUGGUGUAGUGGUAACGCGCCCCAACUCCCCAACGGGGAGUCGUGAGUUCGAUUCUCACUGAGAAGA
rfam:Aedes aegypti strain Liverpool supercont1.54 genomic scaffold, whole genome shotgun sequence.